UGUUUUAACUUAAAGCAUUUUAGUUUCUCUCAUUCCUGGCAAACCAACCAUCAGGAGACUCAGUCAUGGAAUAAAUUCUAGGGGCUGCACAUGCCAGUGGAUGGAGCUGCCCCAAGGCCUCCUUGAUUGCUCUGGUGUGGACCAUCACCGUGUUUGCGGCUGAGGACAGCUGAACUCCUGUUUCAUGAUCUAGUUAUAUAAAAAGGAAUCCUAACUUGUGUUAGAAGGAAUGAUUCCCUGAGGAGAAGGGAAAGAGUUUAUGCAGAAGGAACUUGCAUCUGUGACAUGCUGAGGCCAACCGGGAUGUGAUUGCUGUGCAUAAUGACUGCGUGCAAGAAGCAAGGAGAAGGCAGCUGUGUGGAACAGUGGAGGACUCCUGCAGUGCUGUCAAAGCCAGCAAGGCUAGAGGUGGUGUGUCGUGUAAGUACUGUUUGAGCUCUGAAGGGAUCAAACUGAUUUUCUUCCUGGUUUUGUUCCCUUUAG